rnacentral:rRNA from 1 species
GAUGAACGCUAGCGGGAGGCUUAACACAUGCAAGUCGAAGGGCAGCAUUAUCGCUUGCGAUAGAUGGCGACUGGCGAACGGGUGCGUAACGCGUAUGCAACCUACCCUCAACUGGAGAAUAGCCCAGAGAAAUUUGGAUUAAUACUCCAUAGUAUUACAGAUUCGCAUGUUUCUGUAAUUAAAGUUUUAAUGGUUGAGGAUGGGCAUGCGUGACAUUAGUUUGUUGGUGAGGUAAUGGCUCACCAAGACUACGAUGUCUAGGGGUUCUGAGAGGAUGAUCCCCCACACUGGUACUGAGACACGGACCAGACUCCUACGGGAGGGCAGCAGUGAGGAAUAUUGGACAAUGGAGGCAACUCUGAUCCAGCCAUCCCGCCGUGCAGGAAGACGGCCCUACUGGGUUGUAAACUAGCUUUUAUUACAGGAAUAAACCCCUACCUACGUGUAGAGGGCGUGAAGGUACUGUAAGAAUAAAGCACCGG